GGGGAUUUAGCUCAGUGGUAGAGCGCUUGCCUACCAAGCGUAAGGCCCUGGGUUCGGUCCCCAGCUCCG
rnacentral:tRNA from 1 species